CAAAACUGUGACUUCAUAAAAAAGGAAGAGGCCGGUUCCUCCAGACCGUGACCCUGUAUUUACAGGCUGCCUUUCUACCAUCCCAGCUGUAACAGCCUGAAAUAUUCCCUGCCGUCAAUUAGCGGAAAAGGAAGUGAAGUCACAAAAGAUUGUAAGCCAGAUGAAAUGGAAUCUUGUGAAGAUAUUUUUGAAGAAACAGACACUAACUGGGCAGAAAAGUACUGUUCCUGCUCCCAGUGACUAGAAAUUUGGAAGAUUUAUCAUGUGUAGGACUCCAGCUUCUUUCAAGAAUGCUCUGAAGAGGAGGCAUCCAGCUGCUGGCAUGGAGAUGGAGUGAAAUAAAAAAAGGAUUGUUGUGAUUCAGCUCUUUGCACUCCUCCCAGAACAGCACCAAGGAGUCUCUAGAUCAAUUAAUGUGAAUGGUGUUAAUUAAUCACCAGGUUUGGUCUUACUUUAGGUAUGUGUCUAGGAAUCUCUGGUCCUUCUACUCAUGGGAAUAGAGCCGUGUAAUUGUACAAGUGCCAAAAGUUGCUUUUCACA